AGACAUGUCUGUGACAGUGUCUUCAGGAGGUUUCACUGAGGGGGGAAGACUCACCAUGAAGUGGGCUGUGAUCCAAGGCUGGAUAAAAAGGAGAGGUUGGGUUGAGCACAAGCAUCCAUCUCUCUUUGCUUCCUGACUGUGGACACCAUGGGGCCACCGUGAACUGUGACCUGAACUGGUGAGGCAAAAUAAACUCACAUGUGGUGGUCAGUCUCCACUGUGAACUUGGCCUGAAAAGAUAGAACCUGAGUUGAAGAAUUUCCUCCAUCAGAUUGGCCCUUUGGGCAAGUCUGUGGGCAUGAUUGACCACUGAUAUAAGAGGGCCCAGCCCACUGUGGUUGGUACCACCCCUGAGCAGGUGGGCCUGCAAUCUAUAUGAAAGCUGACUGAGCAGGAUCAGGGGAGCAAGCCAGUAAGCAGCAUUCUUCCAAGGUCUCUGCGUCAGUUCCUAUCUCAAGACCAUGUCCUGGCUUCCCUGGAUGAUGGGCUAUAAAGAGUAUGGUGAAAUAAAACCUUUGUUCCCUUAAGUGGCGUUUGAUCACUUGUUACAACGGGGCAGCAAACUGGAGCACCUUCCUUCCUGACACCCCAAGAGUUCCCAUGCUGCUGACUCUGCCCUUAGUCUUUUGAUGAUGCUGGGACUAUCUUAGCUUAUGUCAUGACCACAGUCUUUAGGCUCUGGUUUCCCUGGGCUGGUAACUGUAUCAAGCUGAUGUCCUUGGGAGAGUUUGCAAUGGUUUUGUAAAGUGUGCGGUGUGGAUCGGGGACAGAGGUCAGUAAGGGAACACUCUUGGGUUUUAUUUUAAUUUGGAUUCUUUCUAGAGAUGGUGGGUCCCUCCCGGAUCCAUAUGAGACAGAGAGUUCAAAGCAGAGCGGAGGAGACUGACAUUGAAGAUAAGGCUGUCAGUGUACACCCUGAAGAACGGAGGACCAGGUGCUACAGUCUCCAGGGAACAAAGGCUGGUGACCAAGUAGUAAGGAGUGUGGAUGCAACAAGAUGGGGUUAAAUGAGCAAGAUCGGUGUGGAAAACAGGGUGCGUGCGUGGCCUGUGCUCUUGGCGGCUUAGAAGUUUGGGAAUUUAUUUCAUUAAAAUUCUCAGUAUUCGAGAGACCAAUGCAUUAAAGUCCUUCUAUAAUGUAAGAGGUGCGGGUAAAGUGCCUCUUUCUACUUAAGAAGGGCCCUUUUCUCCCCUUCUCCAUUAGCGCAUCAUCAGGGACUAAUUCAGAGAUCAGCAUCUGCUCUGCAUUUCUUAGUGAGUUCACGGGGCAUUUUGUAAAGCAGACGAAUACAUUUUAUAGCCUGGGAGCUUGAAACGGGGCAAUGUCUCGAUAAGGUGCUUAGUCUACCUGAGUUUGAGACUAGAGAACUCUCAACUAAGUACAGACUCUGAGCCUGGAAUUCUGCCCUCUCUCCCAUCCCGCUUCGGUUUGGUUUCCUGAGGUUUACCUCUAGUCACUUAGUUCUCAGUCCAUAAACCCCAACACUUGGACUGCUCCGAUCCCUCACCCUAGCCAUCUCCUCAGCAAAAGAAACGACAGACGCAGCUGCAGCAUCCAUGUAAAAGUCUAAGAGACCCAAGACUAACAAAGUCCUUAUGCCGGGAGUCCAGGUACAGGAGCUAUGUCCAGUGACCCAACAACAGAGGUGCGGACCUUCUGCUCCUGAACUAACUUCAGGAACAGAAGAGAGUUGAGGCGGUUCAGAUAGCGCAUAGGAAUCCUGAGGGAUAGAGAUGGGCUAAGAAAGGGGAGGGACUUCCGGGUCUUCCCUGGGACUGGCAGUAGUAACCAGGAACUAGGUUGCUACCACUUUUCGCGGCCUUCUCGCUCUAGUCACGGCUGCAGAAACCCUCAGAGGGCAUCAGCUUGCCUGUACAUGGUGGGCGAGCAGAAAGUAUGCAGGCACCUGCAGCCCGCUCGUGGGUGGAGCCUGCUAAUGAGCAACUCUGCUGACUGACUGGAGGGGAGGUGCUCAUUCCAGGCCUCUGGCCAGGAGCCUUCUCUUCUGGGCUUGUCAGAGAGCCAGUGCCACAGGCUUCAGGUUCACCUCAAUGGAAAACAGCAUCCGAGCCACAGCCCAGGCCGCCCAUCUCUCUGAAAAGGCUCAGCAUACAAGCUCUGUCCUGAUGGCGGUCCCUCCUGUUGUCACUCUGUGAACGGGGUCUACUGCCUUCUGAACAACUCCUGAGACAACAGUAUAUUCAUUUAAAAUGUCCAUUUUCAGCUGGGCAGUGGUGGCACACACCUUUAAAUCCCAGCACUUGAGAGGCAGAGACAGGCGGAUUUCUAAGUUCGAGACCAGCCUACAGAGUAAGUUCCAGAACAGCCAGGACUACACAGAGAAACCCUGUCUCCAAAAACAAAACAGCAACAAUACAACAACAACAAUAAUAAUAAAUAAAAACGUCCAUUUCCAUCUAUUGAGUCUCUUCGUUGUACAAAGAAAACCAAGGGCUUUGCUAGCCUAGGCCAG
rnacentral:lncRNA from 1 species